GUUUACAACUGACAGAAGAUUUAAUCCUAGAACUGAGAGUCUCAACGAAAAGAAAGAACACGGUGAAAACCAAACACCUGACAUCGACGCAUUGCCUUACUAGUGAAAAAUUCUAAACCUAAGGGUCUCAAUAUAUGAGAAAAAAAUCAUACAGAUGAAAAGGAAAAUUCAUGUGGAGAGAAAAAGAAAAAAAAUCAUCCUUCAGAGUGCAAAACCAUAUGAUCAACAUCGAUCAACCCAAAUAAGUCCCAAAUGAAUAAAUCAGGUAAACAUCAAUCAAGCCAAUAUCUAAACCAAUUCAGAUCUAACAAAAGAACAUCACAUGAUCCCCUUAACCAAACUCAAAUAAAUAUAUCUGUAACAAUAUUUUUACCUCAAAUAAUGACAAUAACAAAUUAUAUAAGAGCACUAUAAUAAACUAGGGGCACCUCCAUGCAUCAUGGCAUGUAUAAGUUGGAAAGAGCUCUUAACACUUGCACUUGCAACCUCAGCUGGAAGAUAUACUCGGCGGUGCGCACAAAAAGCUGGUCGGCAGGCAACUCCCUUCCACCCGGCACGAGCCUCUGGAGCUCCCUCACCUUCCUCGACGCUGACCCAUGGAGGGCUCGCCUCCCUCUCCGUCGAUGGGCCUUUUUCGGCCCCGCGAGUGCACCCCGACAGCCUCUCACCUCCUCUCGCCGUGGCCUCUUCAUUAGAAGAAGGUGGUGGUGAAGGAAGAGGAGAAGAAAAUAUGGGAGGAGUUUGGAAAUGAGGAAGGUGGGAGAAGGAGAGAUAUAAUAAAGAGGGGAAAGGAAAGGCUUUGGCGUUGCCACCACUAGAAGGCCAUGUGCGCCACCCCGGCUUUGGCCUUGGAG
rnacentral:lncRNA from 1 species